UACGUAGGGGGCAAGCGUUGUCCGGAUUUAUUGGGCGUAAAGAGCGUGUAGGCGGCCCGACAGGUCCGUUGUGAAAACUCGAGGCUCAACCUCGAGACGUCGAUGGAAACCGUCGGGCUAGAGUCCGGAAGAGGAGAGUGGAAUUCCUGGUGUAGCGGUGAAAUGCGCAGAUAUCAGGAGGAACACCGGUGGCGAAGGCGGCUUCCUGGACCGACAUUGACGCUGAGGCGCGAAAGCUAGGGGAGCAAACGGG
rnacentral:rRNA from 1 species